CUGAACUAAAUUGAACUGAUACUAAAAUUGGAAUGAUACAGAGAAGAUUAGUCUGGCCCUUGCACAAGGAUGGCAUGCAAAUUCACGAAGUGCUCCUUACUGUU
ensembl:snRNA U6 U6 spliceosomal RNA